rnacentral:rRNA from 1 species
AGAAUCAACGCUGGCGGCGUGCCUAACACAUGCAAGUCGAACGCGAGAGGGGCUUCGGCCCCAAUUGAGUGGCGAACGGGUGAGUAACACGUGGGUGAUCUACCUUUGAGUGGGGGAUAACGUUCCGAAAGGAACGCUAAUACCGCAUGACGUUCCGGGUUUGAAGACCUGGAAACCAAAGCCGGGGACCGCAAGGCCUGGCGCUUGGAGAGGAGCCCGCGCCUGAUUAGCUAGUUGGUGAGGUAAUGGCUCACCAAGGCUACGAUCAGUAGCCGGCCUGGAGAGGGCGGACGGCCACGACGUGGGACUGAGACACGGCCCAGACUCCUACGGGAGCAGCAGUGGGAAUUGUUCGCAAGUGGGCGCAAGCCUGACGACGCAACGCCGCGUGGAGAUGAAGGUCUUGGAUUGUAACUCCUGUUCGACCGGACGAUGACGCCCGAACUACGACGUCGGCAGUGACGGUACGGUGACGG